rnacentral:sRNA from 1 species
AGCGCAGGUCCGGCGUUGGUGGGUUACCUAUCACUUCUUCCCAUCGACAAUCACUUGACCUCAGC